GACGAACGCUGGCGGCGCGCCUAACACAUGCAAGUCGAACGGAGCUGAGAGAAGCUUGCUUUUCUUAGCUUAGUGGCGAACGGGUGAGUAACGCGUGAGUAACCUGCCCUGGAGUGGGGGACAACAGUUGGAGACGACUGCUAAUACCGCAUAAGCCCACGAUCCGGCAUCGGAUUGAGGGAAAAGGAUUUAUUCGCUUCAGGAUGGACUCGCGUCCAAUUAGCUAGUUGGUGAGGUAACGGCCCACCAAGGCGACGAUUGGUAGCCGGACUGAGAGGUUGAACGGCCACAUUGGGACUGAGACACGGCCCAGACUCCUACGGGAGGCAGCAGUGGGGGAUAUUGCACAAUGGGGGAAACCCUGAUGCAGCGACGCCGCGUGGAGGAAGAAGGUUUUCGGAUUGUAAACUCCUGUCGUUAGGGACGAUAAUGACGGUACCUAACAAGAAAGCACCGGCUAACUACGUG
rnacentral:rRNA from 1 species